rnacentral:rRNA from 1 species
UACGUAGGGUGCAAGCGUUAAUCGGAAUUACUGGGCGUAAAGCGUGCGCAGGCGGUUGGGCAAGACAGAUGUGAAAUCCCCGGGCUUAACCUGGGAAUUGCAUUUGUGACUGCACGGCUAGAGUGUGUCAGAGGGGGGUAGAAUUCCACGUGUAGCAGUGAAAUGCAUAGAUAUGUGGAGGAAUACCGAUGGCGAAGGCAGCCCCCUGGGAUAACACUGACGCUCAUGCACGAAAGCGUGGGGAGCAAACAGG